AUUUUUUUCUCCAGAACCAAGCAGAGCUAUACUAAGGCAAGAUUGAGAGAGUUAGUUCUAUUGAAGUGGAGCAGCUGGAAAAUAUCUCAACUGAACCUGCUCUGUCCUGAGCUCCAGGAGACAGAAAAACAAGAGGACCAUGAGUACGUCAGAAGACAAGAAAGUCUCCUGCUUUCCGGUUUCUUACUGUAGUCAGUUUACUUCUAAGAAGAGGGUGGUGCAUUCAAAAGGAGCUUAGAAACACAAACAACUCAUUCUAAUCAAGGACAGAAAAUCACAUAAGGAGAGUCAGAAGAGUCAUGAAACUCCGGCAACCCAGAAGUACAGUACUUAUAGCAGUGUUUCCCAAUAUUCUUCUGAUGGAGCUCCCCUUUCUAAUGAGCUGGCAGAUGGACACGCACACCUGCUUCCACCUAUGUCUAUUCAUGUCUUAUUUGGAACACUUUCCACUUUCUUUGAGUCCAUUUACUCUCAUUCUCAAGUGCCUUGGCCCCUUUCUCUUCUAUAAUUUUUUCCUUUGCCAAUUCUAACUAUUCCUCAGUUUUGCUCCCCAGUUUUGUAGUUCCCUCUUCCUGUUCCCCAUUCAGCAGGAAGCUAUAUGCUGCUUAGAAUGGAGGCAUCUGUUGGUGGUUCCACAUGUCCAGGUUAGUUAUGCUCUUGCUAUUUAGUGGAUUAUCACAGGAGCAGUGAAAAGUGAGGUCUGAACCACCUGUUGCUGCCUGUACCAAAAGCCCUGUAGCUAGCAUCAUUAUGAACCACAGUGGAAACAGGGAAGGAAGGCGGGUUGCUUUCAGGAAGCACUCCAGCUUCACUUUCAGCCUCAAGAGAACAUUAAUUAUGGCAAGGGAAUAGUACAUUCUAGAGCAGAGGUGGGUAAACUACGGCCCACAGGCAACAUCCGGCCCAAGGGACUGUCCUGCCCAGCCCCUGAGCUCCCAAACGGGAAGGCCAGUCCCCACCCCUUCCCUGCUGUCCCCCCUCCCCCGCAACCUCAGCUCACCAUGCUGCCAGCGCGGGAGUGGGCUGCACUGCAGGGGUAGCGGAGAGCAGCAAGGGAGGCUCACCUGCAGCCUCAGGAGAGCAGGCAGGCGGUGCAGGUGGCGGGAGUGCGGCCGGAGGACUAAGGAGGAGCACUGGGUGGCCGCCCAGCCUACAGGAGACAAGCAGCACUUUGAAGGGGAAACUGCCGCUUCUCUCCAGCUGCGUGGCUGCCCAUGCUCUUCCUGAGUCCUCCGCCCAUGUUCGCAGGGCCACAUUCUGAA